UGGGCGCAUGCGGCGACUUUCUCUGAGCUCUCGCGAGGUUUCCUCUUCCCGGAAGCAGCGAAGGAACUUCCCCGUUAACUGCGUCGCGAUGUGUGGGGACUGUGUGGAGAAGGAGUAUCCCAACCGGGGUAACAUCUGCCUGGAGAAUGGAUCUUUCUUGCUGAACUUUAUAGGCUGUGCAGUGUGCAGUAAGCGGGACUUUAUGCUGAUCACAAACAAAUCUUUGAAAGAGGAAGAUGGAGAAGAAAUAGUUACCUAUGAUCCAGAUCUUUGUAGGAAUUGUCAUCAUGUAAUAGCCAGGCAUGAGUAUACGUUCAGUAUCAUGGAUGAAUUUCAGCAGGCCCCGACUCCUGUGACUGGCCAGCUGGUAACUUCCAUCUUAGUCUGAUGACCCCAAGAACUCUUCAUACUCAGCUGCUGUGACUUACUUUCCUCAGCCCCACCCCAUUCCAGCCCCCAUCUUAUUCCAGCAGCCAUUGAGGUUCAAGAUGGGAUUCCCACCAUUGGAGUAUACCAUGCUGUGUCUGUUAUGUGGUAAAGCUGAAGAUACGAUCAGUAUUCUCCCUGACGACCCCCGACAAAUGACUCUGUUAUUCUAAGGAUCCUUCUGCAGCUCUGUAAUCACAAUGUGGUGUUGGUUUACAAUACAGCAAGCCUGAUGGUUUGUCUAACUUAGUUUAUAAUGGAAA